rnacentral:rRNA from 1 species
UACGUAGGGUGCGAGCGUUGUCCGGAAUUAUUGGGCGUAAAGAGCUCGUAGGCGGUUUGUCGCGUCUGCUGUGAAAACCCGAGGCUCAACCUCGGGCCUGCAGUGGGUACGGGCAGACUAGAGUGCGGUAGGGGAGAUUGGAAUUCCUGGUGUAGCGGUGGAAUGCGCAGAUAUCAGGAAGAACACCAAUGGCGAAAGCAGCUCUCUGGGACGGUACUGACGCUGAGACGCGAAAAGCGUGGGGAGCGAACAGG